rnacentral:rRNA from 1 species
UACAGAGGUGCCGAGCGUUAGGCGGAAUCACUGGGCUUAAAGCGUGUGUAGGCGGAUGCCUAAGUACCUUGUGAAAUCCCACGGCUUAACCGUGGAACUGCUCGGUAUACUGGGUGUCUUGAGCCACUUAGGGGUUACCGGAACAAAUGGUGGAGCGGUGAAAUGCGUAGAUAUCAUUUGGAACGCCAAUGGUGAAAACAGGUAACUGGGAGUGAUGCUGACGCUGAGACACGAAAGCCAGGGGAGCGAACGGG